CGUAAAUAUUAUUUUAUGCAUUUUUUAUUCUAGCUUUACAAAUUAACGUUUAUCAUUACAAUAAUAAAAUCAUUCAUAUUAAAAAGUUGUGUUAUACGUGUUAUCCCUUAAAGUUAAAAAUAGCAAAUGGUCAGUUCUAUAUUUAAUUCUGGUUGUUGAUUGGCUGAGAGAAUUUUCGCGCGGUGCGCGGCAGGUAGUUUUCGAGUGAGGGCUAGUUUUUUGUCGAGCUCAGCAGAGGUGGACAUUAUAUGUCUGAGAUUAUACGUCAAAUAAAUACGACUUCUGACAUGACCUCAUACUGAUCCUGACUUGAUUAACAGCAUUUGUCAUAAUUAUUUGAAGUGGACCAUGAUCCACAAUCAGGGUUGUUCAUUUUAAUACAGAAUAUAUAUAUAUAUGAAAAUCCGAACCAUCAGUAUUGUUAUUCUUGGUACAACGCCCAAUAAUAACGCUACUUCA